UGGUAGAGUAAGUGUAUGCCCUACGUAAAUAUGAUCUGAAGGCAGCUUUUUUGUAUUUCACUGGGUCUGCUGACCAAUUUGGAAUGAUGAUAGGGCAGUAUGUGGGCUUUUUGUAUACUUUAAUUUUAUACAUGCUAUGCAUCACUUGUAUCUCUGUGUCUAAAAAAUGUGCUUUGGACUGGCUACUUUGUUUUUGCCUCUCGAGUUAUAGGCCGAACGGUUCUUUGGUCAGGUGUUGUGUUAACAUUUCUGUUUUAGUGUUUUGCUUCCAUAUGACUAAAAUGCAGUAUACAUAUCUCAUAUUCUAAGAUAUUUGGUUGCAAGUUUUUUAUUGUUUCUUCUUCG
rnacentral:lncRNA from 1 species